ACGGCCAUGUUGCGCUGAAGCACCGGUUCCUGAACGAUCACUGAAGUUAAGCAAGGUCGAGCUUGGUCAUCACCUAGAUGGGUGACCGCCUGGGAAUACCACGUGCUGUAAG